GCCCAUCAACGCUCGGUCACCCCGACCGCACGCGGACAGUGGCCCUCCGAGCUUAAUAGGCACGGUGGGCUGAAGUGUAAGGCCGUUGACCGUGUUGGGAUCGGCAAGUGGUGGGCUACAGCGCAUGCCGACCCCAACCCGUGUCGAACCCCGGCCCUUCUAGACCCCACAGCGAAUGAGACCGUCGCCGCGCGGCGCGUUCGCACC
rnacentral:misc_RNA from 1 species